rnacentral:ncRNA from 1 species
ACACAACUCUGGAGAGUCCCUUGAAUGGGCGCCGAAGGUGCACGGAUGGAAAUCCAUCCUUAUCUCUCAGGCCAAAGGACAGAGAA